UCACACUCACACACACUCACCUAGAGAAAAUUGCAAUGUCAAGUACCUGCAGCCAAGACGAACUGUGCGAAAACAACUCCGCAGAUAAAAGUUGAUUUGUCAGCUGUGAGUAGAGUCCACUGGUCCAGAUAGACUGACCAGUUUCAC